CGCUUCAGAUACGCUUCACGAACGGGGUCUAUUACCGGAUACGACACUUUCAGGCAUCUCGAUGAGUGUGGAAAGUUUUUUCGGUGGGGGAUGUGCUCGCGGCCUAUCAGCUUGUUGGUGGGGUAAUGGCCUACCAAGGCUUCGACGGGUAGCCGGCCUGAGAGGGUGACCGGCCACACUGGGACUGAGACACGGCCCAGACUCCUACGGGAGGCAGCAGUGGGGAAUAUUGGACAAUGGGCGGAAGCCUGAUCCAGCAACGCCGCGUGAGGGAUGACGGCCUUCGGGUUGUAAACCUCUUUCAGUACCGACGAAGCGAGAGUGACGGUAGGUACAGAAGAAGCACCGGCCACUACGUGCCAGCAGCCGCGGUAAUACGUAGGGUGCGAGCGUUGUCCGGAAUUAUUGGGCCGUAAGGGCUCGUAAGCGGUUUGUCGCGUCCGGAGUGAAAACACCGGGGCCUUAACUCCGGUGCUUGCUUUUCGAUACCGGGCAAAACUAAAGGUAUGCCAGGCGGAGAACGGAAUUCCCUGGUGUAGCGGUAGAAAUGCGCCAAAUUAUCCAGGAAGGAACCCCCCGGUGGGCGAAGGCGGUUCCUCUGGGGCAUUUACCUUGACCGCUGAAGGAACCGAAAGUGGUGGGGAGCCGAACAAGACUAAAAUUACCCUGGUAAUCCCCACCCGAAACCUUUGGGCCCUAAGGGGUGGGA
rnacentral:rRNA from 1 species